rnacentral:tRNA from 1 species
CACGGCGUGCUUUGGAGAGCUUUCGGAUAGCAGGAGCAGGGGAAUCAUAAUCCCUUGGUCGGGGGUUCAAAUCCCUCCGCUGCUACCA